GACGAACGCUGGCGGCGUGCUUAACACAUGCAAGUCGAGCGGUAAGGCCUUUCGGGGUACACGAGCGGCGAACGGGUGCGUAACACGUGGGUGAUCUGCCCUGCACCUCGGGAUAAGCCUGGGAAACUGGGUCUAAUACCGGAUAUGACCUCCUAUUGCUUGGUGGGUGGUGGAAAGAUUUAUCGGUGCAGGAUGGGCCCGCGGCCUAUCAGCUUGUUGGUGGGGUAAUGGUCUACCAAGGCGACGACGGGUAGCCGACCUGAGAGGGGGAACGGCCACACUGGGACUGAGGCACGGCCCAGAAUCCUACGGGAGGCAGCAGUGGGGAAUAUUGCACAAUGGGGGAAAGCCUGAUGCAGCGACGCCGGGUGAGGGAUGACGGCCUUCGGGUUGUAAACCUCUUUCAGCAGGGACGAAGCGCAAGUGACGGUACCUGCAGAAGAAGCACCGGCUAACUACGUG
rnacentral:rRNA from 1 species